rnacentral:rRNA from 1 species
UACGAAGGGGGCUAGCGUUGCUCGGAAUCACUGGGCGUAAAGGGUGCGUAGGCGGGUCUUUAAGUCAGGGGUGAAAUCCUGGAGCUCAACUCCAGAACUGCCCUUGAUACUGGGGAUCUUGAGUCCGGAAGAGGUGAGUGGAACUCCGAGUGUAGAGGUGAAAUUCGUAGAUAUUCGCAAGAACACCAGUGGCGAAGGCGGCUCACUGGCCCGAUACUGACGCUGAGGCACGAAAGCGUGGGGAGCAAACAGG